rnacentral:rRNA from 1 species
UACGAAGGGGGGCUAGCGUUGUUCGGAAUUACUGGGCGUAAAGCGCACGUAGGCGGCUUGUUAAGUCAGGGGUGAAAUCCUGGAGCUCAACUCCAGAACUGCCUUUGAUACUGGCGAGCUUGAGUUCGGGAGAGGUGAGUGGAACUGCGAGUGUAGAGGUGAAAUUCGUAGAUAUUCGCAAGAACACCAGUGGCGAAGGCGGCUCACUGGCCCGGUACUGACGCUGAGGUGCGAAAGCGUGGGGGAGCAAACAGG